GAUGAACGCUGGCGGCGUGCUUAACACAUGCGAGUCGAACGGAAAGGCCCAAGCUUGCUUGGGUACUCGAGUGGCGAACGGGUGAGUAACACGUGGGUGAUCUGCCCUGCACUUCGGGAUAAGCCUGGGAAACUGGGUCUAAUACCGGAUAGGACGAUGGUUUGGAUGCCAUUGUGGAAAGUUUUUUCGGUGUGGGAUGAGCUCGCGGCCUAUCAGCUUGUUGGUGGGGUAAUGGCCUACCAAGGCGUCGACGGGUAGCCGGCCUGAGAGGGUGUACGGCCACAUUGGGACUGAGAUACGGCCCAGACUCCUACGGGAGGCAGCAGUGGGGAAUAUUGCACAAUGGGCGCAAGCCUGAUGCAGUGACGCCGCGUGGGGGAUGACGGCCUUCGGGUUGUAAACUCCUUUCGCUAGGGACGAAGCGUUUUUGUGACGGUACCUGGAGAAGAAGCACCGGCUAACUACGUG
rnacentral:rRNA from 1 species